rnacentral:rRNA from 1 species
AUGAUCCGGCGAGGUUGGGCCUGCAGGAGGAGGAUAAGGUCGAGAUCGUCCGGCGAGUCGUCCAUCGGCGUACGGCGGCAACGGCGAUUCGUCCUUGGCGCGGUCCGUUACCUAAGAUCAAUGGCCAACGCUAAUGUCAACAUGAACUUCAACGCGUUCCUAGAGAAAACCAAGCUGAAAGAUGAUGGCAGCAACUAUACGGACUGGGUCCGGAACCUGAGGAUCAUCCUCAUAGCUGCCAGGAAACAAUAUGUCCUAGAAGGACCGCUAGGUGACGCUCCCGUCCAAGAGAACCAAGACAUUAUGAAUGCUUGGCAGUCUCGCGCUGAUGAUUACUCCCUCGUUCAGUGCGGCAUGCUUUACAGCUUAGAACCGGGGCUCCAAAAGCGUUUUGAGCAUCACGGAGCAUAUGAGAUGUUCGAAGAGCUGAAACUAGUUUUCCAAGCUCAUGCCCGGGUCGAGAGAUAUGACGUCUCCGACAAGUUCUACAGUUGUAAGAUGGAGGAAAACAGUUCUGUCAGUGAGCACAUCCUGAAGAUGUCUGGGUUGCACAACCGUAUGACCCAGCUGAACAUUAACCUCCCAGAUGAGGCGGUCAUUGACAGAAUCCUCCAGUCGCUCCCACCAAGCUACAAGAGCUUUGUGAUGAACUACAACAUGCAGGGAAUGGAAAAGACCAUUCCUGAAGUGUUCUCGAUGCUGAAGUCAGCAGAGGCUGAAAUCAAGAAAGAACAUCGAGUGUUGAUGGUCAAUAAGACCACUAAGUUCAAGAAGGGCAAGGGUAAGAAGAACUUCAAGAAGGACGGCAAAGAUGUUGCCGCGCCUGGUAAGCCAGUUACCGGGAAGAAGUCAAAGAAUGGACCCAAGCCUGAGACUGAGUGCUUUUAUUGCAAGGGGAAGGGUCACUGGAAGCGGAACUGCCCCAAAUACUUAGCGGAUAAGAAGGCCGGCAACACCAAAGGUAUAUUUGAUAUACAUGUGAUUGAUGUGUACCUUACCAGUACUCGUAGUAACUCCUGGGUAUUUGAUACCGGUGUCGUUGCUCAUAUUUGUAACUCACAGCAGGAGCUGCGGAAUAAACGGAGACUGGCGAAGGACGAGGUGCCGAUGCGCGUCGGGAAUGGUUCCAGAGUCGAUGUGAUCGUCGUCGGCACGCUGCCUCUACAUUUACCUACGGGAUUAGUUUUGAACCUUAAUAAUUGUUAUUUA